ACUAGUCUGAGAUAUGCAGUCUUAGCUUGCAAGUCCAAGUUGACAUCCAGAUACUAUUGACAUUUUCUGUCAUUUCACUGACUUAUUUCUCUAUAUAUUAUUUCUUACACUACUUCAGACUAUUAAAAUUCCAAUAAAAGUCACUUUAUUAAACUGUAGAAUUGAAUUUUCAACAUCAAAAGUCGACUGGGCAGAGAUCAACAUCCCAUAAGGUAAUUCACAACCUGUAAUUAAGCGGAAAACACUUGUGAAUCACAAAAUAUGGACAAUGUUAAUUGAUAGACUUUUUUCAGGGUACUCUAAAUUCUUAAUUAAUCUAAUCUAAAUAUUUAAUUUAUUUAGUAAUUUAACAUUUUGAAUACUCUUGUUUAUUUAACCUGUUCGGAAGUGAUGAAGAUAUGCAGUUCACGAAGUGACCAGAAGGUGUCGGUGUAAACCUGCAGGAGAGCCAGAGACGCUUCAUUCACACACAUGACUGGAGCUUCUCUGCGUUUACUUCCCAUGUGCGUGCAACUGCAACUGACGCUGAGAGAUACACCUGCUUUUUAUUAGAGCCGUAAUCCAACUCCAGUCGCUCUUGAGGAAGCAGAGAAGAGAUAGAGGUGAAGGGGCCUCGUGCCCAGUGAGGAGCCCUGGCAGCGCUGCAGAACGGGAUAUUUAGGCUGUUAGAGCACCAGGAAGCUCUGAGUCCCAUUUUGGGUGGUGGUGAAGAUACAGCAGGUCCACAUCAACAUGAGACACAGGCAGCCUCUGUGACGGCCAGCUGCGCGUCUGGAAUACAAGUCAUCUAAUUACGUGGAAAAGAUGGCCACCGACCGCCAGCAAACAAACAGAGUCCCUCUCACCUGUCGCCUGACCUACUUUACCAUGGAAAACACUGCUGGGCUGCUGUAAAGUAUGUUAUUUUAUGGGCCGAAGCGGGUUUAUUUUAGUUAUACAAUUAGGGGACUUAAGGGACACGGCAUCGUAAAUCAGACUUUACCGUAGAUAUGUACUGGCUCAUUGGCCCAUUUUACCUUAGUCCAACUUAAUUGAAUAUGUUAACUUGAAGCUUAAAGAAAAGAUCGAAGAUGAAGAUAUUUAUCUAUGAAGAUAUUUAGCUGUAAAUUGAAUUCAUUUUUGUGGGUAUAUCUCAAAAGCUCUGUGAAAAAAAACAUAUUCCCCUGAAAG